rnacentral:rRNA from 1 species
UAAUCAGAAAGCCACGGCUAACUACGUGCCAGCAGCCGCGGUAAUACGUAGGUGGCAAGCGUUAUCCGGAAUUAUUGGGCGUAAAGCGCGCGUAGGCGGUUUUUUAAGUCUGAUGUGAAAGCCCACGGCUCAACCGUGGAGGGUCAUUGGAAACUGGAAAACUUGAGUGCAGAAGAGGAAAGUGGAAUUCCAUGUGUAGCGGUGAAAUGCGCAGAGAUAUGGAGGAACACCAGUGGCGAAGGCGACUUUCUGGUCUGUAACUGACGCUGAUGUGCGAAAGCGUGGGGAUCAAACAGGAUUAGAUACCCUGGUAGUCCACGCCGUAAACGAUGAGUGCUAAGUGUUAGGGGGUUUCCGCCCCUUAGUGCUGCAGCUAACGCAUUAAGCACUCCGCCUGGGGAGUACGACCGCAAGGUUGAAACUCAAAGGAAUUGACGGGGACCCGCACAAGCGGUGGAGCA